UAACUCUGUCGCUUGUUUGGUCUUGCCAACAACGGAGUUGCAGUUGGAAGAGAAAAAAGGAGGGCUGAGGACGUGACACCAUUGGAUGAGUUUGCUUCUCUCUCUGUCUCUUCUCGCUUUCUUCUGGGAAAGCACAUGGACUGAAAAUGAUGGCAUGGCAGAUUCGGAAACAGUGCAGCGGCAGUUCAAAAAGCAGCUUUAAAUGUUAGCCCUUAUGUUUUUUUGAGCACGUUUAAUGACUGCACUCCUUUUUUUCAGACUGCACUCGUUUGGCUUGUCAAAUUUUAAUAAUAUUGUUUGUAUUAAUGUGAUCUUUAUGGUUAGACCUUAUAUUUUUGGCCUGAAGGAAGAUCACAUUAAUACAAACAUAAAGAUUUAACUAAAGGAUGUCAAAUUUUUACCUGAUAGACAAACUUGAAAGGGAGAACAAAUCGGUAACAGGAUCUAACAUGCUUGAGGAACAUAAAGAUUCUAAAGACGAACCUAAAUAUAUAAAAGAUUUCACAGAUCAAACAUGAUGAAUUACCACCCAAAAUUAUCCUAGAAAUGGUAGAGGGGAAAAAGAACAUGAAUCAUAACAAAUAUAUAAGCCGAUGGAACACGAUGAGCAGUUUGCACGCGAAAGGCCCGUUCUUGAGUGGGCGGGCCCAAGGAAAUGAGGUUGUUGAACUCGUCGGAGAGCUUCUCCGCUGUGGCUUCAACAAGGCAAUAUAAUUUGAUGUUUGAUAUAACUCAUGAAAUAUUUUCCCUAUGUAAAUGAAACUGUAGAUACACUUCAACACUGAGACCUCACAAUUACUUUGAACAGCAAACCUACGGAAACAAAAAAUCAU
rnacentral:lncRNA from 1 species